rnacentral:rRNA from 1 species
AUUGAACGCUGGCGGCAUGCCUUACACAUGCAAGUCGAACGGCAGCACGGGAGCAAUCCUGGUGGCGAGUGGCGAACGGGUGAGUAAUAUAUCGGAACGUGCCCAGUCGUGGGGGAUAACGCAGCGAAAGCUGUGCUAAUACCGCAUACGAUCUAAGGACGAAAGCGGGGGAUCGCAAGACCGCGCGCGAUUGGAGCGGCCGAUAUCAGAUUAGCUAGUUGGUGGGGUAAAGGCCCACCAAGGCGACGAUCUGUAGCUGGUCUGAGAGGACGACCAGCCACACUGGAACUGAGACACGGUCCAGACUCCUACGGGAGGCAGCAGUGGGGAAUUUUGGACAAUGGGCGCAAGCCUGAUCCAGCAAUGCCGCGUGCAGGAUGAAGGCCUUCGGGUUGUAAACUGCUUUUGUACGGAACGAAACGGCCCUUUCUAAUACAGGGGGCUAAUGACGGUACCGUAAGAAUAAGCACCGGCUAACUACGUGCCAGCCGCCGCGGUAAAAC